rnacentral:lncRNA from 1 species
UUUGAUAAACCUUAUCGGCUAUCCGGUCGGUCCCGGUAGGAACGCACCGAGGUGCUACAUAGUGGACUGAUCCACCGUGUUAACGGCUAGGCCCUUCGGGCUACCACUAUACCUAUCCCGAGUUUGGAAUGCCUUCUGACUAAGUGCCAGGGGUAGUCAAGCUGCCUGCAUUUCUGACUACCCAAUAAACCAAUUUGACCAAACUGACAGACUUCCUACAAUAAUGUUGAUAACAGCAUGAGGG